GUAGGUGAACCUGCGGAAGGAUCAUUAUUGAAUGAACUUGGUGUAGUUGUUGCUGGUCCUUUCGGGGGCAUGUGCACGCCCACCAUCCUCAUCUCUCCACCUGUGCACCUCUUGUAGACUUGGAUUGACUUUCCGAGGCAACUCGGUCGGGAGGAUUGCUGGCAUCAGCUGGCUUUCUUUGCAUUUCCGGGUCUACGUUUUUCAUAUACCCCAUUGUAUGUAACAGAAUGUCAUAUUGGGCCCUUGUGCCUAUAAACCUUAUACAACUUUCAGCAACGGAUCUCUUGGCUCUC
rnacentral:misc_RNA from 1 species